GACGAACGCUGGCGGCGUGCCUAAUACAUGCAAGUAGAACGCUGAAGAGAGGAGCUUGCUCUUCUUGGAUGAGUUGCGAACGGGUGAGUAACGCGUAGGUAACCUGCCUGGUAGCGGGGGAUAACUAUUGGAAACGAUAGCUAAUACCGCAUAAGAGUAGAUGUUGCAUGACAUUUGCUUAAAAGGUGCAAUUGCAUCACUACCAGAUGGACCUGCGUUGUAUUAGCUAGUUGGUGAGGUAACGGCUCACCAAGGCGACGAUACAUAGCCGACCUGAGAGGGUGAUCGGCCACACUGGGACUGAGACACGGCCCAGACUCCUACGGGAGGCAGCAGUAGGGAAUCUUCGGCAAUGGACGGGAGUCUGACCGAGCAACGCCGCGUGAGUGAAGAAGGUUUUCGGAUCGUAAAGCUCUGUUGUAAGAGAAGAACGAGUGUGAGAGUGGAAAGUUCACACUGUGACGGUAUCUUACCAGAAAGGGACGGCUAACUACGUGCCAGCAGCCGCGGUAAUACGUAGGUCCCGAGCGUUGUCCGGAUUUAUUGGGCGUAAAGCGAGCGCAGGCGGNUAGAUAAGCCUGAAGUUAAAGGCUGUGGCUUAACCAUAGUACGCUUUGGAAACUGUUUAACUUGAGUGCAAGAGGGGAGAGUGGAAUUCCAUGUGUAGCGGUGAAAUGCGUAGAUAUAUGGAGGAACACCGGUGGCGAAAGCGGCUCUCUGGCUUGUAACUGACGCUGAGGCUCGAAAGCGUGGGGAGCAAACAGG
rnacentral:rRNA from 1 species